rnacentral:rRNA from 1 species
UACGAAGGGGGCUAGCGUUGCUCGGAAUCACUGGGCGUAAAGCGCACGUAGGCGGAUUGCUAAGUCAGGGGUGAAAUCCUGGAGCUCAACUCCAGAACUGCCUUUGAUACUGGCGACCUUGAGUUCGGGAGAGGUGAGUGGAACUGCGAGUGUAGAGGUGAAAUUCGUAGAUAUUCGCAAGAACACCAGUGGCGAAGGCGGCUCACUGGCCCGACACUGACGCUGAGGCACGAAAGCGUGGGGAGCAAACAGG